AUGACUAAUGAGCAAAAAAUUGGGCCGCUCGCCUUUAACCACGAAUUUUUGAAAUUUAGAUUUCUAACACCCAACAAAAGCUUACAGAAGUAAUCUAAGUUUUGACCGGGCAAAAGUUAUCUGGGGGUACCGGAACAUGUAACACCAGGUUGCAUUUGACUUAACAUAUGGCAUCGAAGUAAAUAAAAAUGUUAAGGGGUUUUGAAGACCAUACCCAAUAUACAUUUGCAAAAAGUAGGUAACUGGAAGCAAAAAUUGAGUCUCCAAACAUCCUGUGUUUCUCUAACCAAUUGAAAAUGAAGAUGGAAAGAAGAUUGACUUGAAACAUAAUCAAAGUUCUUUUUCUGGCACCCAAGCUGAGUUCUUUGAGAGUGAUAACUUUUUGCCAUUCUUCUACAAGCAAGUUGUGUUUAUGUUUUCAGUGCGUCUUGCUUUCCCAAUGUUUCUGUUGCUUCAACUUAGCUUGGAAAGGAGACCAAAUGAACGAAAAUAUUUCUCUUCUUAAAAACAACCGUCUACCCAGCCGCGGGCAACAAUGUGUCUUCCACCAUCACAGAAAGGUUAUUGUCAGAAACAGAUAACACCCUCGUACAGUAUUAACUCAUUAGGAAAGCAUUCAACUUGCAGGAAAAAGUUGGAAGUCAUACAAGUAAGAAACAUAUAUUUAACAUUUACCACUUUUCAAUCGAUCCACAAUUAAGCUCUGGAAAGCUCUUGCCAAGUUCAUUAUUCUUAUUUAAUUUAAAUUUUCAAAGUUAUUGUACGGAGAUAGCGCACGCACGCAUAUAGAUCCAAAGCACUCUAACAUC